AUGAUAUAUAUUUUCAGGGCCUCUCUCUAUCUCUCUCUUCUCCGCUUCUCUUCACCUAUGGUGGAUCUCUCUCAUCACCCAUAAUCUUCUUCUUCAAGGUGUUGUAGUACAGAGAAAGAGAUGGGUGUUAUGUUCACCAUCCAUAAUCUUCUUCAACAUCAAUUUACUGCCAUAACAACUCUGCGACUGUUCACCAUCAUUGAAAAGGAAGAUCAGCAAAUAGCAAAAACCCAAUGUAGCAUCGACACCCACCAUCGCUCUUCGUUACCGACGCUGAAUUCCCCAAAUCAGAGGUCUUGGAUCCUUGCCUUAAACCCUACAUCCGAAGAGCUAUUGUGAGUGGUAUUUUUAAUAAAGGGGACGUUAAGCCUAUGUAGCACCUAUGUUGGAGAUAUCUCUUUGCAUUUGCUGGUCAUGUACAAAUGGUACCACCGACAGUCUUGUACGGGUGGGUUACGUUUUGCCACCGACGGUUUUCCAGGUGGGUUGUCUAACCGAUUCCGGGUCGGCCACUGACGGUCAUGAACGGGUGUGCUUCGAUUCUGGGACGGUUAUUCCUUUGUUUUGUCAAGAAUGUCAUCCUUUGUAUUAUGUAGAUGUUAUUAAACAUCCCAAGAUGCUUUGAAAGACUUUGAUUGAUGAACUUGAUUCAUCCCAUGUUUUGUUACAAGCUAUGAUAUGUAUUGUUUUGAUAAAGAUCUCGGAUAUCAUUCAUUCAAACCUUUAUUAUUUAUAACAUUCACUGAGUAUCCAAGCUCACCCUCUCCUUUAUAUAUAUGUAAGUGACGAGCAAGAAGGCAAUGUUGCCUAAGCUUUGUUUGGAAGAUGUUUUGGAUUCAUGUUUUGCUAGCAUCUUGAAGAUUAUACUUCUUGGUUUUAUAGUUCAUUUCUUUUGUAUGUUUGGCUUGAAAAGCCUUUUGAUCAAGAUGUAAUAUGUACUUUAUGUUAUUUUGUAUUCAAGUUGUAAAAUCAUAUUAAGAUAUAUGUCAUUUCAUUAGAUCUUUGCACA